AUACUUACCUGGACGGGUCCAUGGGUGAUCAAGAAGGCCCAUGGCCAAGAUUGGUGACCUCCAUUGCACUCAGGAGGGUGCCUGCCUAAGGUUUACCUAAGUGGUGGAGCUUACGUCAUAAUUUGUUGUAGUCGGGGCUGCGUUCGCGCGGCCCUUG